GUCUGGUCGUCCUACCAGUAGCCCUUGGUGUGUCAUAGCUUGGGGAAGAGAUUUCUAGCCAGCUCUACCAGUUUUAAUGGAAGUUUUCCUACGAGAAGUGAAAAGAGAGAGGAAUCGGUUGGGUCCAGUGGCUUUCAGACCAAUUUCUUAAUGAUCCAACCGUCGGAUUGGCAAUCUGAAACCACUCUUAGAUUCAACACACUGAAAUCUUCAAGAUGGGACUAACCCAUCUUCAAUUAAACAUCCUUCAGAUAAGGUGAUCAUUGAAUGGUCCAGAUUGC
rnacentral:misc_RNA from 1 species